GUCCGAAGGCCAGCGCCGUGUGUCCGCUCCUCCCUCGCCUUUCCCAGGCAGUGAACCAGACAGCUGUCCCAGUGAUUUACCCUGGAAUCCUCUGCUUCUUUCUCUCCCAGUUCUCAGUCAGGCACAACAAGGGUUAAUAAAUUGCAGGGUGUGGAGAAGCAGGGCAGGAGGGAGUACCCUGCUCCUGUCACCCUGUGAGGGACAGGAAUGAUUCCUGAUUCCUGGGAUGAUCCUGGCUGGAAGUGCAGGAUUGUCAGGGGAAGCAGGAAAGUCCGGAAAAUCAACUGAGAAAAACCCGUUACCAGCAAGAUUUGCCAAAUAAGUGAGUGCAUCCAGUGGCCUGGAAAAUGAGCCGGCGAGUGAUAGAAGAGCCCUUUCCCAGUUCUGCACACUCAAGGAAACAUUUAAUACAUCUGGAAGGAAAAAUC